rnacentral:ribozyme from 1 species
AUAAAAAGGGAAGAAAAAGGCUCUUUUGUUGAAUCAGAACUUCAGUUUUUGUGGAAAAAUUUAGAUUUUUUUUGUUCUCCUUCUCCUCCUCUUUUUUCUCCUUUUCCAUCUUAUCUUUUUCCAGAAAAAAAGGGGAUG